rnacentral:rRNA from 1 species
AUUGAACGCUGGCGGCAGGCCUAACACAUGCAAGUCGAGCGAGCGGCGGACGGGUGAGACAGGUAUGGGGACUGCCCGAUAGAGGGGGAUAACUACUGGAAACGGUGGCUAAUAGCCCAUAAUGUCUGAGUAACCAUAUGGGAUUAGCUAGUAGGUAGGGUAAUGGCUUACCUAGGCGCCGAUCCCUAGCUGGUGUGAGAGGAUGAUCAGCCACACUGGGACUGAGACACGGCCCAGACUCCUACGGAGGCAGCAGUGGGGAAUAUUGCACAAUGGGCGCAAGCCUGAUGCAGCCAUGCCGCGUGUAUGAAGAAGGCCCUAGGGUUGUAAAGUACUUUCAGUCGGGAGGCGUUACCGACAGAAGAAGCACCGGCUAACUCCGUGCCAGCAGCCGCGGUAAUUC